GAUGAAGAACGUAGCGAAAUGCGAUACUUGGUGUGAAUUGCAGAAUCCCGUGAACCAUCGAGUCUUUGAACGCAAGUUGCGCCCGAAGCCUCGGCUAAGGGCACGUCUGCCUGGGCGUCACGCAUCGCGUCUCCCCCAAACCGCCAAGGCGGAGGGGAAGGAAGAUGGCUUCCCGUGCCUCACCCGGGCGCGGUUGGCCUAAAUUUGGAGCCCGCGGCACUUAGCUCUCGCGGCGAUAGGUGGUGAACAAGGCCUUGGCCGUGCACACAACCCGCUGCGAAGCUCUAUGUCACGUGCGCUCGUCGGACCCUUUGAAGUUGCCUUUGGUGACUUAAAACCUUUGCGACCCCAGGUCAGGCGGGGCUACCCGCUGAAUUUAAGCAUAUCAAUAAGCGGAGGA
rnacentral:misc_RNA from 1 species